CCUACGGGGGGCAGCAGUGGGGAAUAUUGCACAAUGGGGGAAACCCUGAUGCAGCGACGCCGCGUGAGUGAAGAAGUAUUUCGGUAUGUAAAGCUCUAUCAGCAGGGAAGAAAGAAAGUCCUUCGGACUGUGGACGGGACCGGACUAAGAAGCCCCGGCGAACGCCGUGCCAGCAGCCGCGGUAAUACGUAGGGGGCAAGCGUUCUCCGGAUUUACUGGGGGUAAAGGGAGCGUAGACGGCAGCGCAAGUCUGGAGUGAAAUCCCAUGGCUUAACCCUGGAACUGCUUUGGAAACGGUGCAGCUGGAGUGCAGGAGAGGUAAGCGGAAUUCCUAGUGUAGCGGUGACAUGCGUAGAUAUUAGGAGGAACACCAGUGGCGAAGGCGGCUUACUGGACUGUAACUGACGUUGAGGCUCGAACGCGUGGGGAGCAAACAGGAUUAGAUACCCCAGUAGUC
rnacentral:rRNA from 1 species